CAGUCGUACCGGCGGGUAAUCAGCCUUUCGGGUAUGAUUCUGUGGAGUGUGGGGAGCUAAGCACCCUCAUGCCUGCAUAUUCGUGCUCUUGGGUGUACUUGCUCGUGUGGUUGGUUAACAUCAAUUUCGGAUGCCAUAAAAUGACUGGAGGAAUGUAGCUUCGAUCUCGUAUUGAAGUUGUUAUAGCCUUUCGGUAGAUGUGACGAUUGGGGAUUGGAGGAUUGCAACGGAUACCCUUCGGGGCUACCUGUCUGAUCUCUGAUCAUUGCUCU
rnacentral:rRNA from 1 species